rnacentral:rRNA from 1 species
GUCUAUGGCCAUGCUACCCUGAACAAGCCCGAUCCCAUCUGAUCUCGGAAGCUAAGCAGGGUUGGUCCUGGUGAGUACUUCAAUGGGAGACUACCUAGGAAGACCAGGUGCUAUAGGCG